rnacentral:rRNA from 1 species
GACGAACGCUGGCGGCGUGCCUAAUACAUGCAAGUCGAACGCUUCUUUCCCCCCGAGUGCUUGCACUCAAUUGGAAAGAGGAGUGGCGGACGGGUGAGUAACACGUGGGUAACCUACCCAUCAGAGGGGGAUAACACUUGGAAACAGGUGCUAAUACCGCAUAACAGUUUAUGCCGCAUGGCAUAAGAGUGAAAGGCGCUUUCGGGUGUCGUUGAUGGAUGGACCCGCGGUGCAUUAGCUAGUUGGUGAGGUAACGGCUCACCAAGGCCACGAUGCAUAGCCGACCUGAGAGGGUGAUCGGCCACACUGGGACUGAGACACGGCCCAGACUCCUACGGGAGGCAGCAGUAGGGAAUCUUCGGCAAUGGACGAAAGUCUGACCGAGCAACGCCGCGUGAGUGAAGAAGGUUUUCGGAUCGUAAAACUCUGUUGUUAGAGAAGAACAAGGACGUUAGUAACUGAACGUCCCCUGACGGUAUCUAACCAGAAAGCCACGGCUAACUACGUG